rnacentral:rRNA from 1 species
UACGGAGGGAGCUAGCGUUGUUCGGAAUUACUGGGCGUAAAGCGCACGUAGGCGGCGAAGCAAGUUGGAUGUGAAAGCCCUGGGCUCAAACCUAGGAUGUGCAUACAAAACUGCUUCGCUUUGAAUCUCGGAGGGGGUCAGGGAAUUCCCGGUGUAGAGGUGAAAUUCGUAGAUAUCUGGAAGGAACACCGGUGGCGAAGGCGGCAUCCUGGACCGACAUUGACGCUGAGG